rnacentral:rRNA from 1 species
UACGAAGGGUGCUAGCGUUGUUCGGAAUUAUUGGGCGUAAAGCGUGCGUAGGCGGUUUGGUAAGUCGACUGUGAAAGCCCAGAGCUUAACUUUGGAACUGCAUUCGAAACUACCAGGCUAGAGUAUGGCGGGGGAUAGUGGAAUUCUUAGUGUAGGGGUGAAAUCCGUAGAUAUUAAGAGGAACUCCAGUGGCGAAAGCGGCUAUCUACACCAUUACUGACGCUGAGGCACGAAAGCGUGGGGAGUAAACAGG